GAUGAACGCUGGCGGCGUGCCUAAUACAUGCAAGUCGAGCGAACGGACGAGAAGCUUGCUUCUCUGAUGUUAGCGGCGGACGGGUGAGUAACACGUGGAUAACCUACCUAUAAGACUGGGAUAACUUCGGGAAACCGGAGCUAAUACCGGAUAAUAUUUUGAACCGCAUGGUUCAAAAGUGAAAGACGGUCUUGCUGUCACUUAUCGAUGGAUCCGCGCUGCAUUAGCUAGUUGGUAAGGUAACGGCUUACCAAGGCAACGAUGCAUAGCCGACCUGAGAGAGGGAUAGGCCACACGGGAGCUGAAACACGGUCCAGACUCCUACGGGAGGCAGCAGUAGGGAAUCUUCCGCAAUGGGCGAAAGCCUGACGGAGCAACGCCGCGUGAGUGAUGAAGGUCUUCGGAUCGUAAAACUCUGUUAUGAGGGAAGAACAUAUGUGUAAGUAACUGUGCACAUCUUGACGGUACCUAAUCAGAAAGCCACGGCUAACUACGUG
rnacentral:rRNA from 1 species